GACGAACGCUGGCGGCGUGCUUAACACAUGCAAGUCGAACGGAAAGGCCCUGCUUUUGUGGGGUGCUCGAGUGGCGAACGGGUGAGUAACACGUGAGUAACCUGCCCUUGACUUUGGGAUAACUUCAGGAAACUGGGGCUAAUACCGGAUAGGAGCUCCUGCUGCAUGGUGGGGGUUGGAAAGUUUCGGCGGUUGGGGAUGGACUCGCGGCUUAUCAGCUUGUUGGUGGGGUAGUGGCUUACCAAGGCUUUGACGGGUAGCCGGCCUGAGAGGGUGACCGGCCACAUUGGGACUGAGAUACGGACCAGACUCCUACGGGAGGCAGCAGUGGGGAGUAUUGCACAAUGGGCGGAAGCCUGAUGCAGCGGCGCCGCGUGCGGGAUGACGGCCUUCGGGUUGUAAACCGCUUUCGCCUGUGACGAAGCGUGAGUGACGGUAAUGGGUAAAGAAGCACCGGCUAACUACGUG
rnacentral:rRNA from 1 species